AUUGAACGCUGGCGGCAGGCUUAACACAUGCAAGUCGAGCGGAGUGAUGGUGCUUGCACCAUCACUUAGCGGCGAACGGGUGAGUAAUGCCUAGGAAUCUGCCCAUUAGCGGGGGACAACGUGUGGAAACGCACGCUAAUACCGCAUACGCCCUACGGGGGAAAGCAGGGGACUCUUUGAGCCUUGCGCUAAUGGAUGAGCCUAGGUCAGAUUAGCUAGUUGGUGGGGUAAAGGCCUACCAAGGCGACGAUCUGUAGCGGGUCUGAGAGGAUGAUCCGCCACACUGGAACUGAGACACGGUCCAGACUCCUACGGGAGGCAGCAGUGGGGAAUAUUGGACAAUGGGCGCAAGCCUGAUCCAGCCAUGCCGCGUGUGUGAAGAAGGCCUUUUGGUUGUAAAGCACUUUAAGCGAGGAGGAGGCUUACCUGGUUAAUACCUGGGAUAAGUGGACGUUACUCGCAGAAUAAGCACCGGCUAACUCUGUGCCAGCAGCCGCGGUAAUACAGAGGGUGCGAGCGUUAAUCGGAAUUACUGGGCGUAAAGCGCGCGUAGGCGGUUUGUUAAGUCGGAUGUGAAAUCCCCGGGCUCAACCUGGGAAUUGCAUUCGAUACUGGCAAGCUAGAGUAUGGGAGAGGAAGGUAGAAUUCCAGGUGUAGCGGUGAAAUGCGUAGAGAUCUGGAGGAAUACCGAUGGCGAAGGCAGCCUUCUGGCCUAAUACUGACGCUGAGGUGCGAAAGCAUGGGGAGCAAACAGGAUUAGAUACCCUGGUAGUCCAUGCCGUAAACGAUGUCAACUAGCCGUUGGGGGAUUUGAUCCUUUAGUGGCGCAGCUAACGCGAUAAGUUGACCGCCUGGGGAGUACGGUCGCAAGACUAAAACUCAAAUGAAUUGACGGGGGCCCGCACAAGCGGUGGAGCAUGUGGUUUAAUUCGAUGCAACGCGAAGAACCUUACCUGGUCUUGACAUAGUGAGAAUCCUGCAGAGAUGCGGGAGUGCCUUCGGGAAUUCACAUACAGGUGCUGCAUGGCUGUCGUCAGCUCGUGUCGUGAGGUGUUGGGUUAAGUCCCGCAACGAGCGCAACCCUUUUCCUUAUUUGCCAGCACUUCGGGUGGGAACUCUAAGGAUACUGCCAGUGACAAACUGGAGGAAGGCGGGGACGACGUCAAGUCAUCAUGGCCCUUACGACCAGGGCUACACACGUGCUACAAUGGUCGGUACAAAGGGUUGCUACACAGCGAUGUGAUGCUAAUCUCAAAAAGCCGAUCGUAGUCCGGAUUGGAGUCUGCAACUCGACUCCAUGAAGUCGGAAUCGCUAGUAAUCGCGGAUCAGAAUGCCGCGGUGAAUACGUUCCCGGGCCU
rnacentral:rRNA from 1 species